GUCCUUUAGAAUAUAAUUUAAGGUCUAAUCUGCCCAGUGAUUUUAUUAAAUGGCCGCAGUAUUUUGACUGUGCAAAGGUAGCAUAAUCAUUAGUUUUUUAAUUGAAAGCUUGUAUGAAUGAUUGAACGAAAAAAAUUCUGUUUCUAUUUAAUUAAUUGAAUUUAAUUUUUUAGUUAAAAAGCUAAAAUUGAAUUAAAAGACGAGAAGACCCUAUAGAUCUUUAUAUAAUUAGGCAAAUUUUUUAUUUUGAUUUAUAAUUUAAUUUUUGGUUAAUUAUAUUUUAUUGGGGUAAUAAAAAGAUUAAAUUAAUUCUUUUUUUUUAUUUUAUUUAAUUAUAUAUUUAAGAUCCAAUAUUAUUGAAAUAUGAUUAAGUUACCUUAGGGAUAACAGCGUAAUUUUUUUAGAGAGUUCAUAUCGAUAAAAAAGUUUGCGACCUCGAUGUUGGAUUAAAAUAAACUUUAGGUGCAGAAUUUUAAAGUUUUGGUCUGUUCGACCAUUAAAUUUUUACA
rnacentral:rRNA from 1 species